rnacentral:lncRNA from 1 species
UACUCGUUGCUCUCAAUAUUUGCAUGUUAUAAGGUGAAAGACAUAAGAGGUGUACACGUUUGGAGCGGAGAAAUUCAUCUGAAGAUGGACUCUUCCACUAGUGAAACUAGAAGUAGACAAUCAUAGUGACUCUUAGCUAUCUGGUAAGAGAUAGAGAAAUAAAGGGUUAUUGUUGCACCAAAUCAGUACAACUAUGGAUAUUUUGAGUGUUAUGUUUUGAUUGUGGCUGAAGAGAUACAAGACUAAAAAACAAGUAUUUUAAGGGAAGGAAGUAGUUGAGAGCAAGGAAACAUUUAGGAGGACUUAAAUGAUACUUCGGGGGUUAAAGAGGUUAUUGUGAACCUUGUGAAAAUAUCUAUAAGGUCAUAGUGUAAUUGGAUGCAAGUUCUUCAAGAGGGCG